AGCGGCGAACGGUCGAGUAACACGUAAGCAACCUGCCCGGAAGCGGGGGACAAGCCGGAGAAAUCCGGGGUAAUACCGCAUAACUUGGGGGGAGACAUCUUUCCUCAAGAAAGGGAGAAGCGCAAGCUUCACUCACUUUCGAGGGGCUUGCGGCCUAUCAGCUAGUUGGCGGGGUAACGGCUCACCAAGGCGACGACGGGUAGCUGGUCUGAGAGGACGGCCAGCCGGACUGGGACUGAGACACGGCCCAGACUCCUACGGGGGGCAGCAAUCAGGAAUCUUGCACAAUGGACGAAAGUCUGAUGCAGCGAUGCCGCGUGGGUGAGGAAGUCCUUCGGGAUGUAAAGCCCUUUUUGAGAGGACGAUGAUGACGGUACUCUCAGAAUAAGCCCCGGCUAACUACGUGCCAGCAGCCGCGGUAAUACGUAGGGGGCGAGCGUUGUCCGGAAUUACUGCGCGUAAAGGGCGCGUAGGCGGCCCCUUAAGUCCGCUGUGAAAGACCGAGGCUCAACCUCGGAGUGUCAGCGGA
rnacentral:rRNA from 1 species